rfam:Gossypium arboreum cultivar AKA8401 contig_19165_1, whole genome shotgun sequence.
GGGUGUAAUCAUACCAACACUAAUUCACCAAAUUCCAUCAAAACUUCAUAGUUAAGUGUUCUUGGACAAGACUAGUACUGAGAUGGGUGACCUCUUAAGAAGUCCUCGUGUUGCACCCC